rnacentral:rRNA from 1 species
UACAGAGGUGGCAAGCGUUGUUCGGAAUUACUGGGCGUAAAGGGCGCGUAGGCGGUCUUCUAAGUCUUGUGUGAAAUCCCUCGGCUUAACUGAGGAACUGCACGGGAUACUGGAUGACUUGAGUUCGGGAGAGGGAAGCGGAAUUCCGGGUGUAGCGGUGAAAUGCGUAGAUAUCUGGAGGAACACCGGUGGCGAAGGCGGCGUUCUGGACUGCAACUGACACUGAGGAACGAAAGCCAGGGGAGCAAACGGG